rnacentral:rRNA from 1 species
UACGUAGGUGGCAAGCGUUGUCCGGAUUUACUGGGCGUAAAGGGAGCGUAGGCAGAUACUUAAGUGGGAUGUGAAAUACCCGGGCUCAACCCGGGUGCUGCAUUCCAAACUGGGUAUCUAGAGUGUGGGAGAGGAAAGUGGAAUUCCUAGUGUAGCGGUGAAAUGCGUAGAGAUUAGGAAGAACACCAGUGGCGAAGGCGACUUUCUGGACCAUAACUGACGCUGAGGCUCGAAAGCGUGGGGAGCAAACAGG